AAAGUUCCAUCCUGGCUCAAGAUGAACGCUGGCGGCGUGCUUAACACAUGCUACUCCAGCGAAACAGUUAACUUGAUUUCUUCGGAUUGAUUCUUAACUGACUGAGCGGCGGACGGGUGAUUAACGAUUGGGUGACCUGCCCCAUACCGGGGGAUAACGGCUGGAAACGGCUGCUAAUACCGCAUAAGCGCACAGAGCUGCAUGGCUCGGUGUGAAAAACUCCGGUGGUAUGGGAUGGGCCCGCGUCUGAUUAGGCAGUUGGCGGGGUAACGGCCCACCAAACCGACGAUCAGUAGCCGGCCUGAGAGGGCGACCGGCCACAUUGGGACUGAGACACGGCCCAAACUCCUACGGGAGGCAGCAGUGGGGAAUAUUGCACAAUGGGGGAAACCCUGAUGCAGCGACGCCGCGUGAGCGAAGAAGUAUUUCGGUAUGUAAAGCUCUAUCAGCAGGGAAGAUAAUGACGGUACCUGACUAAGAAGCCCCGGCUAACUACGUGCCAGCAGCCGCGGUAAUACGUAGGGGGCAAGCGUUAUCCGGAUUUACUGGGUGUAAAGGGAGCGUAGACGGCAAGGCAAGUCUGAUGUGAAAACCCAGGGCUUAACCCUGGGACUGCAUUGGAAACUGUCUGGCUCGAGUGCCGGAGAGGUAAGCGGAAUUCCUAGUGUAGCGGUGAAAUGCGUAGAUAUUAGGAAGAACACCAGUGGCGAAGGCGGCUUACUGGACGGUAACUGACGUUGAGGCUCGAAAGCGUGGGGAGCGAACAGGAUUAGAUACCCUGGUAGUCCACGCCGUAA
rnacentral:rRNA from 1 species